GACGAACGCUGGCGGCGUGCUUAACACAUGCAAGUCGAACGGAAAGGCCCUGCUUUUGUGGGGUGCUCGAGUGGCGAACGGGUGAGUAACACGUGAGUAACCUGCCCUUGACUUUGGGAUAACUUCAGGAAACUGGGGCUAAUACCGGAUAGGAGCUCCUGCUGCAUGGUGGGGGUUGGAAAGUUUCGGCGGUUGGGGAUGGACUCGCGGCUUAUCAGCUUGUUGGUGGGGUAGUGGCUUACCAAGGCUUUGACGGGUAGCCGGCCUGAGAGGGUGACCGGCCAAAUUGGGACUGGGAUACGGCCCAGACUCCUAUGGGAGGCAGGAGUGGGGAAUAGUGUACAAUGGGCGGAAGCCUGAUGCAGCAACGCCGCGUGCGGGAUGACGGCCUUCGGGUUGUAAACCGCUUUCGCCUGUGACGAAGCGUGAGUGACGGUAAUGGGUAAAGAAGCACCGGCUAACUACGUG
rnacentral:rRNA from 1 species